rnacentral:rRNA from 1 species
GCANGUCGAGCGGCAGCGCGGGGGCACCCUGGCGGCGAGCGGCGAACGGGUGAGUAAUGCAUCGGAACGUGUCCUCUUGUGGGGGAUAACCAGUCGAAAGACUGGCUAAUACCGCAUGAGCUCGAGAGAGGAAAGCAGGGGACCGCAAGGCCUUGCGCGAGAGGAGCGGCCGAUGCCUGAUUAGCUAGUUGGUGGGGUAACGGCCCACCAAGGCGACGAUCCGUAGCUGGUCUGAGAGGACGACCAGCCACACUGGGACUGAGACACGGCCCAGACUCCUACGGGAGGCAGCAGUGGGGAAUUUUGGACAAUGGGGGCAACCCUGAUCCAGCCAUGCCGCGUGUGUGAAGAANGCCUUCGGGUUGUAAAGCACUUUCGGCCGGAACGAAAUCGCGCGAGCUAACACCCCGCGUGGAUGACGGUACCGGAAGAAGAAGCACCGGCUAACUACGUGCCAGCAGCCGCGGUAAUACGUANGGUGCGAGCGUUAAUCGGAAUUACUGGGCGUAAAGUGUGCGCAGGUGGCCGCGCAUGUCGAGUGUGAAUCCCCGGGCUUAACUUGGGAAUUGCGCUCGAAACUACCUGGCUCGAGUGUGGCAAAGAAGGUGGANUCCAGGUGUAGCGUUGAAUGCGUAAAUUCUGGAGAACCCGAUGGCGAAGCAGCUUCUGGGCAACACUGACGCUCUU